GCUGACAAAGCCUACCGCACUGGCACAUUACGAUGCAAGUUCACAAUAUCAGCAUCCCGUUAGAUAAGCUAGGCCGUGUUGACGAAGGUCUUUUUGAGAAAGUGCUUCUGGAUUUCUGCUCUUUUCCCUUCUUCUCUCCGAUAUGACAGCGAGGCAGGAACCUGGAACGAUGGAGGUUGCUUUAUAUCCUGUUCUCUCCAGCCUCGGCUAAUGCUAAACCCGAAGGGUGCAUUGCCAAGGUCAGACUCUCAACGGAAACUUAAAAGAAAAAAAAGGAGCAUCCUUGGCUUACAAAACGAGUGCUUUGCUGCAAAUCCUUUUCUGGAUGGCGAGCGUAAGAUCGAACCGUUCUUCCUACUUGUGUAGUGGCAGACCUGACUAUCCUUGAAGCAAACGAAUGCCUCCGCCAGAGAAAGGACCUUGUUUGUUGUUGAGAGGGGGCGAGGGGCAGAGAGAGAGGGAGACACAGACUCCGAAGCCGGCUCCAGGCUCCGAGCUGUGAGCGCAGAGCCCAACGCGGGGUCAAACCCACAAAUGGUG